UUUGUAUUCAGCAAAGUCUCACGUGUAAGACAGUACCCCCUAUGUACAGGUUUUAUGGCGUUUUGGGAAGUUACAGGGUCAAAUAUAGCAAAUUGAAAUUUGCCAGAUUGGUUACGUUGCCUUUGAGACUGUAUAGUAGUACUAUAGUAUAGUAGGAAUGAAAUUUACACCCAUAAUGGCAUACCAUUUGCAAUAGUAGACA